UUCUGUCCGUUUUAACAGAGGAGGUCAACACACGAAAAGUUUUUCUGGUCCUUAAUAAAAGGUGUGCUUUACUCGCAACAGAAUGCAACUGUUGAGAAGAAGAGGGAGUGCCUCAUCAAGGCACUUUGUGUCUACUUAAAUGAAGAACCGGACAGUCUCUUCAAAGAAUAUCUGAAUACAGAUGGCUGUGCUGCAGAGAGGAUCUUGAACAUGUUGUAUUUGGCAUCUACAGCAUCAAUGUUGGAGGUGAUGCCACUACCUCUCCAGCUGAUGUUGGAAUUGUUAUUGAGGGUGUUGAAGUGCUUCAUGACUUGGGAGACAUCGCUACUACAUGUACGGUCUUAAUG